rnacentral:tRNA from 1 species
GGGAAGAUGGCUCAGUGGUAGAGCACUUGCCUUGCAUGCAUGAGGCCCUGGGUUUGAUUUCCCAGUACCA